rnacentral:SRP_RNA from 1 species
CAAUUGCUGACAGUGCGGCUGCAGCCCUCGCUCGCGUUGAGACAUUGGAGGCCGCAGCACCAGGAGGCCAAGUGCAGCUGCACCGUGCGAAGGGUGAAGCUGAGCAGGGCGAAGCGGGGGUGCGAGCUCAGGCAGCUCGUAAGCACCCCACUU